rnacentral:rRNA from 1 species
UACGGGGGGGGGCAAGCGUUGUUCGGAAUUACUGGGCGUAAAGGGCUCGUAGGUGGCCAACUAAGUCAGACGUGAAAAUCCCCUCGGCUUAACCGGGGGAACUGCGUCUGAUACUGGAUGGCUUGAGUUCGGGAGAGGGAUGCGGAAUUCCGCGUGUAGCAGUGAAAUGCGUAGAUAUGCGGAGGAACACCGAUGGCGAAGGCAAUCCCCUGGGCCUGCACUGACGCUCAUGCACGAAAGCGUGGGGAGCAAACAGG